GCCUGGCGCUGACAAACAAUCUGAUUAUGAGAUUUAACUUCGCCCCAAGUGGACUUCUGGAUCAGUGUGCUUCAGACUUCCACUAACCUAUCUACACAUAUACACCUGUACUACACCUGUACUACACCUGUACUCAAACUAAACCCUCAGAGAAAGACACUUCUGACCGUCCCAACUGUCCCAUAAAGGAGGGAUAGAAGAGCCGGACGCGCGCGCUGCUCGGAAUACAUAAAAAAGGACGGGAGGGCGCGCGCCCUCAGCAAUAACAGCUCUCUCUCUACAUCCCUCUUUCUCUCUCUCUUUUUUUCUUCUCUGUGGCUUGAAUUAAUCACUCACUGGUUUUAAUGGAGGUUCGGGUUGGAGGUUCGGGUUGACGCAGUAAGGAACUGCAGCUCGCUGAGUCCAAUACUGAAAGAGAGAGAGAGAGAGAGAGAGAGAGAGCGCGCGAGAGAGCGCGAGCGAGAUAGACAGACAGUAGGAUAGAGAGAGAGAGAGUGGUAGAGAGAGAAAGAGAGAGAGAGGAAGAGAGAGAGAGAACCCAGGAUUUGGAGCUCGCGGUCUUCACGCGUUCUGCCUCCCUGAAAACAAGCGUCUGUCUCGGGGUUCAUGGUGACAUAGAGGGGGACGGACCCCGGGUUCGGUUCUGGCAACACUCUGAUCUGGGUCUGAUCUGGGUCUUCUGCUGGUGCUCCAGUCAGCUUCGCGAGGAAGAGAGGGAGAGGAGCCAGCUGCUGAUGAAGGAGCUCAGAGAUGCGUGUUCUCACUGGAGAGUUUAACCUGAGCAGCCGGGGGUGUGCCUCUGGAUCCAUAAAUGAGACUAAAGCGAUGGGAGAAAGGAAAAAACACGGGGACAAGGGCCAUCAAGAAUGUUAUCUCCAGAGAAAAUAAGCACAAGCUAGUCUGAAGUGGAGAAAGACUGCAAAUCCAACACUUCUUUAACCCAGGAAAUUCCUCUCCAAGUGCAUGCGCUGUGGCCAGGAUGGAAUGACCAGUGGUGACCAGGAGUGAAAGGUGAAACGUCAAGCUAAUGCGAAACAGUGGAGGAAAGUGGGUUCUAGGUUAGACCGUGGACAUCUGCUGCACCUUGUCUACACGUUAGAAACAGCCGACUAUCCUGCCAGAAUACUGUGAGGCUCAGUCCAGCCUAGUGGAAACUACACGUGACAUCCCAAGCU
rnacentral:lncRNA from 1 species